rnacentral:rRNA from 1 species
CUACGGGGGGCUGCAGUCGAGAAUCUUUUGCAAUGCACGCAAGUGUGACAAAGUGAGCCAGAGUGCUUUUCAAUUUGAAAAGCUUUUGCUAAAUGUAAAAAGUUUGGCGAAUAAGGACUGGGUAAGACGAGUGCCAGCCGCCGCGGUAAUACUCGCGGUCCAAGUCGCAGCCAUUUUUAUUGGGUCUAAAACAUCCGUAGCUUGCUUAAUAAGUUUCUUGUGAAAUCUCAUUUCUUAAAGGUGAGGCGUGCAAGAAAUACUGUUAAGCUAGAGACUGGAAGACGUAAGAAGUACGUUCAAAGUAAUGGUAAAAUAUGUUAAUCUUGGACGGACUCACAAUAGCGAAGGCAUCUUACGAGGACAGUUCUGACAGUAAGGGAUGAAGGCUAGGGGCGCAAAACGGAUUAGAUACCCCCGUAGUC